GUGUCAGCAGCCGCGGUAAUACGGAGGGUGCAAGCGUUAUCCGGAUUUACUGGGUUUAAAGGGUGUGUAGGCGGGUGCAUAAGUCAGUGGUGAAAUCUUUCGGCUUAACCGGAAAACUGCCAUUGAUACUAUGCGUCUUGAAUUCUGUUGAGGUGGGCGGAAUAUGUCAUGUAGCGGUGAAAUGCAUAGAUAUGACAUAGAACACCGAUAGCGAAGGCAGCUCACUAAGCAGAUAUUGACGCUGAGGCACGAAAGCGUGGGGAUCAAACAGGAUUAGAUACCCUUGUAGUCC
rnacentral:rRNA from 1 species